UUAGCUGAAACCAAAUUAGAGGUAAAUCACUGUUAAUGAUUUUAUUGAGCGAUCCUGCUGUU
rnacentral:tRNA from 4 species